UACGUAGGGGGCAAGCGUUGUCCGGAAUCAUUGGGCGUAAAGAGCGUGUAGGCGGCUCGGUAAGUCCGCUGUGAAAGUCCAGGGCUCAACCCUGGAAUGCCGGUGGAAACUGUCGAGCUAGAGUCCGGAAGAGGCAAGUGGAAUUCCUGGUGUAGCGGUGGAAUGCGCAGAUAUCGGGAGGAACACCAAUGGCGAAGGCAGCUCGCUGGGACGUGACUGACGCUGAGACGCGAAAGCGUGGGGAGCAAACAGG
rnacentral:rRNA from 1 species